CCAGACUCCUACGGGAGGCAGCAGUGGGGAAUAUUGCACAAUGGGGGGAACCCUGAUGCAGCGACGCCGCGUGGGUGAAGGAGCACCUCGGUGCGUAAAGCCCUAUCGGCAGGGAAGAAACAGACGGUACCUGGGGAGGAAGCUCCGGCUAACUACGUGCCAGCAGCCGCGGUAAUACGUAGGGAGCGAGCGUUGUCCGGAAUUACUGGGUGUAAAGGGAGCGUAGGCGGGGAUGCAAGUUGGGUGUCAAAACUACCGGCUCAACUGGUAGUCGCACUCAAAACUGCAGCUCUUGAGUGAAGUAGAGGCAGGCGGAAUUCCUAGUGUAGCGGUGAAAUGCGUAGAUAUUAGGAGGAACACCAGUGGCGAAGGCGACUUUCUGGACUGUACCUGACGCUGAGGCGCGAAAGCGUGGGUAGCGAACGGGAUUAGAUACCCUUGUA
rnacentral:rRNA from 1 species